rnacentral:rRNA from 1 species
AGAGUUUGAUCCUGGCUCAGAUUGAACGCUGGCGGCAGGCCUAACACAUGCAAGUCGAGCGUGAAAGUCCUUCGGGAUGAGUAAAGCGGCGGACGGGUGAGUAACGCGUAGGAAUCUGCCUGGUAGUGGGGGACAACGUUUCGAAAGGAACGCUAAUACCGCAUACGUCCUACGGGAGAAAGCAGGGGACCUUCGGGCCUUGCGCUAUCAGAUGAGUCUAGGUCGGAUUAGCUAGUAGGUGAGGUAAUGGCUCACCUAGGCGACGAUCCGUAACUGGUCUGAGAGGAUGAUCAGUCACACUGGAACUGAGACACGGUCCAGACUCCUACGGGAGGCAGCAGUGGGGAAUAUUGGACAAUGGGCGAAAGCCUGAUCCAGCCAUGCCGCGUGAAUGAAGAAGGCCUUAGGGUUGUAAAGUUCUUUUGUCAGGGAGCAAAGUUUUCUUGUUAAUAGCGAGAAGAGCUGAGAGUACCUGAAGAAUAAGCACCGGCUAACUACGUG